rnacentral:rRNA from 1 species
AUUGAACGCUGGCGGCAGGCCUAACACAUGCAAGUCGAACGGUAACAGGAAGAAGCUUGCUUCUUUGCUGACGCGUGGCGGACGGGUGAGUAAUGUCUGGGAAACUGCCUGAUGGAGGGGGAUAACUACUGGAAACGGUAGCUAAUACCGCAUAACGUCGCAAGACCAAAGAGGGGGACCUUCGGGCCUCUUGCCAUCGGAUGUGCCCAGAUGGGAUUAGCUAGUAGGUGGGGUAACGGCUCACCUAGGCGACGAUCCCUAGCUGGUCUGAGAGGAUGACCAGCCACACUGGAACUGAGACACGGUCCAGACUCCUACGGGAGGCAGCAGUGGGGAAUAUUGCACAAUGGGCGCAAGCCUGAUGCAGCCAUGCCGCGUGUAUGAAGAAGGCCUUCGGGUUGUAAAGUACUUUCAGCGGGGAGGAAGGGAGUAAAGUUAAUACCUUUGCUCAUUGACGUUACCCGAAGAAGAAGCACCGGCUAACUCCGUG